UACGGAGGGUGCGAGCGUUGUCCGGAAUCAUUGGGCGUAAAGCGCACGUAGGCGGUCCGUUAAGUCUCAUAGGUGAAAGGCUGGGGCUCAACCCCAUGCAUGCCGGGGAUACUGGCGGACUGGAGACAGGUAGAGGCGAGCGGAAUUCCGGGUGUAGCGGUGGAAUGCGUAGAGAUCCGGAAGAACACCGGAGGCGAAGGCGGCUCGCUGGACCUGAUCUGACGCUGAGGCGCGAAAGCUAGGGGAGCAAACGGG
rnacentral:rRNA from 1 species